rnacentral:rRNA from 1 species
UACGUAGGGGGCAAGCGUUGUCCGGAAUCAUUGGGCGUAAAGCGCGCGUAGGCGGCCCUGUAAGUCCGUUGUGAAAGUCGAAGGCUCAACCUUCGAAAGCCGAUGGAUACUGCAGGGCUAGAGUCCGGUAGGGGACCACGGAAUUCCUGGUGUAGCGGUGAAAUGCGCAGAUAUCAGGAGGAACACCGGUGGCGAAGGCGGUGGUCUGGGCCGGCACUGACGCUGAGGAGCGAAAGCGUGGGUAGCAAACAGG